UACGAAGGGGGCUAGCGUUGCUCGGAAUCACUGGGCGUAAAGGGCGCGUAGGCGGACUUUUAAGUCGGGGGUGAAAGCCCAGGGCUCAACCCUGGAAUUGCCUUCGAUACUGGGAGUCUUGAGUUCGGAAGAGGUUGGUGGAACUGCGAGUGUAGAGGUGAAAUUCGUAGAUAUUCGCAAGAACACCAGUGGCGAAGGCGGCUCACUGGCCCGAUACUGACGCUGAGGUGCGAAAGCGUGGGGAGCAAACAGG
rnacentral:rRNA from 1 species